rnacentral:rRNA from 1 species
GAUGAACGCUAGCGGCAGGCCUAAUACAUGCAAGUCGAACGGUGUCUUCGGACAUAGUGGCGCACGGGUGCGUAACACGUAUGCAACCUACCUUACAUUGGGGGAUAGCCUUUCGAAAGGGAGAUUAAUACCGCAUAAGACAGUAGCUGGGCAUCCAGCAGCUGUUAAAGAUUUAUCGAUGUAAGCUGGGCAUGACGUCCAAUUAGCUAGUUGGUGAGGUAACGGCUCACCAAGGUAAUGAUUGGUAGGGGAACUGAGAGGUCAAUCCCCCACACUGGAACUGAGAGACGGGCCAAACUCCUACGGGAGGCAGCAGUAGGGAAUAUUGGGGAAUGGACGCAAGGCUGACCCAGCCAUGCCGCGUGCAGGAUGAAGGCGUUAUGCGUUGUAAACUGCUUUUAUACAGGAAGAAACGACUCUUGCGAGGGGCAUUGACGGUACUGUAUGAAUAAGCACCGGCUAACUCCGUGCCAGCCGCCGCAGUAACAC